rnacentral:rRNA from 1 species
GAGUUUGAUCAUGGCUCAGGACGAACGCUGGCGGCGUGCCUAACACAUGCAAGUCGAACGGAAACAGCAUGAAGCUUGCUUUGAGCUGUUUUAGUGGCGGACGGGUGAGUAACGCGUGAGUAACCUGCCUUUCAGAGGGGGAUAACGUCUGGAAACGGACGCUAAUACCGCAUGACAUAUUUUGGUCGCAUGGCCGGGAUAUCAAAGGAGCAAUCCGCUGAAAGAUGGACUCGCGUCCGAUUAGCUAGUUGGUGAGAUAAAGGCCACCAAGGCGACGAUCGGUAGCCGGACUGAGAGGUUGAACGGCCACAUUGGGACUGAGACACGGCCCAGACUCCUACGGGAGGCAGCAGUGGGGGAUAUUGCACAAUGGAGGAAACUCUGAUGCAGCAACGCCGCGUGAGGGAAGACGGUUUUCGGAUUGUAAACCUCUGUCCUUGGUGACGAAAAAAAUGACGGUAGCCAAGGAGGAAGCUCCGGCUAACUACGUGCCAGCAGCCGCAGUAAC